GUGUCAGCAGCCGCGGUAAGACGGAGGGUGCUAGCGUUGUUCGGAAUUACUGGGCGUAAAGGGCGCGUAGGCGGCCAUGUAAGUCGGGUGUGAAAGCCCGGGGCUCAACCCCGGAACGGCACCCGAGACUGCGUGGCUCGAGACCGGAAGAGGUGAGUGGAAUACCCAGUGUAGAGGUGAAAUUCGUAGAUAUUGGGUGGAACACCGGUGGCGAAAGCGGCUCACUGGUCCGGUUCUGACGCUGAGGCGCGAAAGCGUGGGGAGCAAACAGGAUUAGAAACCCCAGUAGUCC
rnacentral:rRNA from 1 species